GGGUGCGAUCAUACCAGCGUUAAUGCACCAGAUCCAAUCAGAACUCUGCAGUUAAGCACGCUUG
rnacentral:rRNA from 1 species